GCCAAGGAAAAAACGCAUAAAAAAUUCAUUGAAGUUUGUAGAUGAGAGGGAAAACAACAAUACUUCUCAUUCACUUCAACCUCCAGCACCAGCAGCAUCUGAAGAUACCACUGUAGAGGCUGACUCUACAAAUGUGAAGAAGAAGGCUAAGAUCAAAGUCAAGGAUGUUUGCAACUUAUCUAAAGAAGACCGUGUAAUUGUAGAGGUUGACGAAGAGGGUGCGACAUAUGGUGAAGCACAAGGUUUACUUGCUGGCUAUUGUGGUAUAUUAGCAACUAAUGCACGUAUCUUUCCAAUUAGCUUUGAAAAGUGGUCAGGACAAGAAAAUGGUGGCAUGCCUAAGUCUUUCAAGGAUGAGUGCUUUGAUUCAAUGAUAAAGGUAUUGCAUUCAAAGUAUUGCAAAGAAGUGGGGAACAUAUAGUCAAAGAUUGUGGAAUGAGUUCUAUGAUCCAACCAUGAGAAGAGAAGUAUUGGUGAACAAUGUGCCUGAUGAUAUUCUAAGAGAUCAAUGGGCUUGUUUUGUCAAUUAUCGACUAAAACCGUCUACAGUUCUUUGCAUGAAAAAUAAGGAAAAUCGAAGCAAGCAAACCAUUCCUCACACUUGUGGAUCUAAAUCCAACUCUCGGAAGCGACAUAAGAUUACUUGAAAACGGGAAAGAAGUCUAGUAGAGGAAUGAUGUACAUUGAAACACAUAAGAGAAAGGAUGGGUCUUUUGUAAAUAACGAG